GCCCGUCACACCAUGGGAGUUUGUUGCACCAGAAGCAGGUAGCUUAACCUUCGGGAGGGCGCUUGCACGGUGCUGCGAUGACUGGGGUGAAGUCGUAACAAGGUAGCCGUAUCGGAAGGUGCGGCUGGAUCACCUCCUUU
rnacentral:rRNA from 1 species